rnacentral:rRNA from 1 species
AUCAAGCUUAUCGAUACCGUCCCUGGGAAACUGGGAUUAAUACCGCAUAGUAUCGAAAGAUUAAAGCAGCAAUGCGCUUGGGGAUGGGCUCGCGGCCUAUUAGUUAGUUGGUGAGGUAACGGCUCACCAAGGCGAUGACGGGUAGCCGGUCUGAGAGGAUGUCCGGCCACACUGGAACUGAGACACGGUCCAGACACCUACGGGUGGCAGCAGUCGAGAAUCAUUCACAAUGGGGGAAACCCUGAUGGUGCGACGCCGCGUGGGGGAAUGAAGGUCUUCGGAUUGUAAACCCCUGUCAUGUGGGAGCAAAUUAAAAAGAUAGUACCACAAGAGGAAGAGACGGCUAACUCUGUGCCAGCAGCCGCGGUAAUACAGAGGUCUCAAGCGUUGUUCGGAAUCACUGGGCGUAAAGCGUGCGUAGGCUGUUUCGUAAGUCGUGUGUGAAAGGCGCGGGCUCAACCCGCGGACGGCACAUGAUACUGCGAGACUAGAGUAAUGGAGGGGGAACCGGAAUUCUCGGUGUAGCAGUGAAAUGCGUAGAUAUCGAGAGGAACACUCGUGGCGAAGGCGGGUUCCUGGACAUUAACUGACGCUGAGGCACGAAGGCCAGGGGAGCGAAAGGGAUUAGAUACCCCUGUAGUCCUGGCAGUAAACGGUGCACGCUUGGUGUGCGGGGAAUCGACCCCCUGCGUGCCGGAGCUAACGCGUUAAGCGUGCCGCCUGGGGAGUACGGUCGCAAGAUUAAAACUCAAAGAAAUUGACGGGGACCCGCACAAGCGGUGGAGUAUGUGGCUUAAUUCGAUGCAACGCGAAGAACCUUACCUGGGCUUGACAUGUAAUGAACAACAUGUGAAAGCAUGCGACUCUUCGGAGGCGUUACACAGGUGCUGCAUGGCCGUCGUCAGCUCGUGUCGUGAGAUGUUUGGUUAAGUCCAGCAACGAGCGCAACCCCUGUUGCCAGUUACCAGCACGUGAAGGUGGGGACUCUGGCGAGACUGCCCAGAUCAACUGGGAGGAAGGUGGGGACGACGUCAGGUCAGUAUGGCCCUUAUGCCCAGGGCUGCACACGUACUACAAUGCCCAGUACAGAGGGGGCCGAAGCCGCGAGGCGGAGGAAAUCCUGAAAACUGGGCCCAGUUCGGACUGUAGGCUGCAACCCGCCUACACGAAGCCGGAAUCGCUAGUAAUGGCGCAUCAGCUACGGCGCCGUGAAUACGUUCCCGGGUCUUGUACACACCGCCCGUCACAUCAUGGAAGCCGGUCGCACCCGAAGUAUCUGAAGCCAACCGCAAGGAGGCAGGGUCCUAAGGUGAGACUGGUAACUGGGAUGAAGUCGUAACAAGGUAGCCGUAGGGGAACCUGCGGCUG